CUUAUUUACAAUGGCUGC
rnacentral:siRNA from 1 species